rnacentral:rRNA from 1 species
GACGAACGCUGGCGGCGUGCUUAACACAUGCAAGUCGAACGGAAAGGCCCUGCUUUUGUGGGGUGCUCGAGUGGCGAACGGGUGAGUAACACGUGAGUAACCUGCCCUUGACUUUGGGAUAACUUCAGGAAACUGGGGCUAAUACCGGAUAGGAGCUCCUGCUGCAUGGUGGGGGUUGGAAAGUUUCGGCGGUUGGGGAUGGACUCGCGGCUUAUCAGCUUGUUGGUGGGGUAGUGGCUUACCAAGGCUUUGACGGGUAGCCGGCCUGAGAGGGGGACCGGACACGUUGGGACGGAGAUACGGCCCAGACUCCUACGGGAGGCAGCAGUGGGGAAUAGUACACAAUGGGCGGAAGCCUGAUGCAGCAACGCCGCGUGCGGGAUGACGGCCUUCGGGUUGUAAACCGCUUUCGCCUGUGACGAAGCGUGAGUGACGGUAAUGGGUAAAGAAGCACCGGCUAACUACGUG